rnacentral:rRNA from 1 species
AUUGAACGCUGGCGGCAGGCUUAACACAUGCAAGUCGAACGGUGAAGCAGGAGCUUGCUCCUGUGGAUCAGUGGCGAACGGGUGAGUAACACGUGAGCAAUCUGCCCUGGACUCUGGGAUAAGCGUUGGAAACGACGUCUAAUACCGGAUACGAGGCGUGGGGGCAUCCCCAACGCCUGGAAAGAACUUCGGUCCAGGAUGAGCUCGCGGCCUAUCAGGUAGUUGGUGAGGUAACGGCUCACCAAGCCUACGACGGGUAGCCGGCCUGAGAGGGUGACCGGCCACACUGGGACUGAGACACGGCCCAGACUCCUACGGGAGGCAGCAGUGGGGAAUAUUGCACAAUGGGCGCAAGCCUGAUGCAGCAACGCCGCGUGAGGGACGACGGCCUUCGGGUUGUAAACCUCUUUUAGCAGGGAAGAAGCGAAAGUGACGGUACCUGCAGAAAAAGCACCGGCUAACUACGUGCCAGCCGCCGCCGUAAUAC